CCAAGGCCUCCGUCGGCUCCGACGAUGAGACGGCAACGCAAGCAGCGGACGGGCAAAUUAGUUUCUCCUUCCUUUACUCUUUUCAAAUUUUUAACGUAGAUUUGGUAUUAUAAAAAAGCUUUCUUAAUGUGCGAAAUAUGGCAGAUUCUAUUUUCAUUUCAAUGCAUGGGCCAACGAGGGAGAAGGGUAAAACAUAUGCCCUAGUUUCCGCUAGUUUUCGCUUUUUUUCCCAUUUUUCUGUUGAUAUUCUAGAGUGCUUACUUGUUUGUUUCCUUUAUGUGAUGCUUCAUGCGAUACUUCUUUCUUCUUUUUCGAAUACUAUGCAUUUCGAAUUGUUACGUUGCUUCUUGUGUAUGAUUCUUUUCAUGAUGAUCUAUAUUUUAGAUAAUGUCAUAAGGAGUCGAAAACGUAAAUAAUAAAUAAUAAAUAUCAUAUUUGGAUGAUAUGGAGGCAAUGGAGAAGCAAGAGAAUAAACAGGAAGUACAUUAGGAAUUUUUAGCAUAUGAUUGUUCCAAUUUGUAUGUGCAAUGAUUAUUAACUGCAGUCAUGACCAUGACAAACGAUUUACUGUAAGAUUUAUUAAUCUUUAUAUAUUUCAUUUAAGGGUCAUCUCAAAUUUGUCUAAUGUAUUUAACAAAGUUUAAAUUGAUAAAUCAGUUUAUUUUUGAAUACAAAACAAUAUUGCGAAAUGAAAAAAUAAUUAACAGUUACUACUCUGGAAAUAUGAUGCCACAAUAACUGUUAGUGCCAUUUCAUUAUUUUUAGAAACAUCCCACUGCUUAUUGUAGAAAAUAUGUCUUCAAUAAAGUCAAGCCUUUUUUACCCCAAUAAUAAGAUAGUGCAAUGGAAACCUGUAUGCACUUAUCUGGAUUUACUAAACAAUCAGGAUUGCUGAAACAUCAAAAUUUGAAGCCGUUCAACAUUAUUUUGUACUUAUACAUGUUUAUCAAAACAGGCAGCUUUUUGGUAACCAAAACAAUGAAGAGGCGUAGCAUCUUUUGGUUAUGUAAAUAUAGUUUAUUUGUAAUGCAUUUAUUUUUCUCGGAAAUAGAUAUUUCAGGAAUUCUACAGUGGUUCUACUACUUUGGAUAUUUGUUUUCGGGCAUUUAAACAACUCGUUGCCGGAGGUGAUCUUUCUCUAGAGGUUUAAGCCUGCAAUCAAGGUAUCCAUAUUAAAGUAAUUCUUUAGAUAAAAUGGUAAAUAUCUUCUGUUCAUCGGUACACUUGUGUGUAUCUGCACACUAGGUGAUGGAUAAAGGCACAUAUCUCCAGUCUGGUGAAGUUUAUUCCAGGGCAUAUGCAUGGCCCACUACCAAAUCCCAGGAAGCUCAAUAUUCUCUAGGGUUUCUGCACCGAGACAUCAUGAGUCAUCUGCAGCCAACAUGACAAAAGGGAGAAAAUGAAUAUCGCUGUUGGUCAUGAACUCGCUUUAAAUCUUCAUGGAUCGAACUUUUCAGAAUCUUCGAAAACCUCUGAAUCAUGGUGAAUAGAAACACAUCCAAAUUAACUGACCAGCCUUGCUUAAUUUUGCACCCUAGUAUACCAAAAUAAAGUAGCAUUAGCCCCAGACACACUUAUAGAAUUGGCGAAGCUUAAGUUCAAGUCUGUGGCUCCACACCAUCAAUUUGGAAGUCCUGAGCUUCUUUCCUAGAAAAACAAGGUAAGACUGUGCCCUUCCGAAGAGUUUCAUUAAUAACCUGAGUCUUGCAGCAAAGUCUUGACACCUGUAUGUUUGCUGAUAGUUAUGUUGUAAUUGUUUAUUAUAUAUUGCUUUGUUGGUAUAGGGCAUAUUAUUGACUACAUACCUGGCAAGGUUCGAUGCUUUGUUACUCCUUCCUUGAGUUACCCUGUGCUCUUCCUGCCAAAAAAUACCCUGUGCAUCAAUAAUCAGCAAAUUUAUGUUAAUAUUAUUAAUAUUCUAUAAUAACUGAGUUUGUUACUCUGAGAAUUUGCAGAACUGUUGGGUUUUCUCCAAUGAAUUUGAUGAGUCAUAUAAGAGCUGCAGUUGUAUGUCAUGACUGCAACGAGAAGUGUCAAAAAAUUGUCUUUCAGCUCCAAAUCUGUGGGCUUGAAAACUCUGAUGCAAAGAUGAAGCUCUCUCUAUUAGUGGCCAACCUAGGCGACCUGGGAUUUUUCUCAUUUGACUUCUGUCUAACCAUGAUUGUAGCAAUAUUAGACUUGUAAGCAUGCGCACAACAAGGAAAAUCAGGAUCUGUAAGUUGUCCGGCUCCAUUACUGUAUCCUCCAACAUGCCGAUUCUGCUACUAAACUUGGGUAUACUGAAGCACUAAAAAUUUAUAUUUUCUUGCAGCAUCUUAUGUCCUUUGAUUUCUUUGGCUUUUGAUGACUAAGUUUGUGCUUUCUGCCAUCUGUUCUUAGAUAAGUCAAAACCGUGCCGGUUAUUUGUUCUUGUGAUGUGUUGCAUUUCAUGAACUUAAUGAAAUGUUGAUGGGCCAUGCCUAUCUUUUUCUCGAAAAAAAGAAGCUAUUUCCUUGUUUUUCUCCUCUGACUACUACACCUGCACAGGUAUGAAUUAUGCCAAGGAUUCAAGUCCUGGCAAGACAUCUGGCAGGACACCCGAAUACAGUACCAUCUUAUAUGUCGGGAUAAGACCGUUCCGCUAUCAUCCCAGCAUCCCGAUCGGCACAUUUUGGGACAUCCCCUGUCCCAACUGUUGGGAUGGCGGUGUGUUCUAUUUCAUGAGAAAACUGGGACAGCCCUGUCCCACAUGAUUUAAAUUAUGCAAAUAAAAUAUGAUGGUUUUUUUACUGACAAUAUUGUUAAGUUGUUCAUUUUUAAGUUGGUAUCUAAAGUGUAUGUAAAUAAAUCUUUUCACUUUGUUCAUUUAGUUAGAGAAAUGGGUGUAUCACCCUUAAUGUCUUGUGACUUCUAAUUUAUUAUGCAGUGUUUGCUUCAAAAGUGAUCUGAGGUGAUAGAAAGCAAAUGGCAGAGGAAAAAAAUUGCCUCUUGGAAAUGAUCUUUUUGCAAGUGCAAAAAAAGAAAUGGUCUUUGUUCCAUAAGGGCAUGAUCGGAUAUGUUUUUUCUUUCUUUCCUUGCAGAGGAAAGAUCAUAUUCAUAAUUUCUGAAUAUAACCAAUCUUUAUCACAUCUGCUGCUAACGUUGUUGUAGUGCUGGUCAGCUGUUUGAGAUGGCAGCAGUGCAGUUAGAAUACAAUUUAGGACUACGAUUGCAAUUAAAUCAUGUACGAAACCUGGUUGAGAGUAGAAUGACUGUCGGAUUUCUGAUUAAGCUCAAGUGGACUUCUAUGGAUAACAGAUAUUACUUUUGUGAUACAUCAGGUCCAGGUGCACUUGCAUGACUUAGCUGUAGCCUGACUAUGGUCAAUCUAGUUAGACCAGAAGAUUUAGCAAUAUAUAGAUGGAUUUCUGUUUUUUUUUUCGGUGGAAGGGUAACAAUAUAUAGAUGGGGUCACAAAGCAUUUAGUAGCUUAAAAAGUCAACAUAAGCGUGCUUUCUGUUGAUGUUUUUCUUUUCUUUUCUCUUCUGCUUGUCUUCCCCCAACUUUUGGCAUCCAAUUAGAGUAUCAUUCUGUUGAGCUGCUUCCUCAUUAUCAAGUAAAGAGUAAUCAAGAGGAAUACAUUGAAAUCCAAAUAUUUCUUUUCAGUUCUCUGUCCUGAUUUAUGGCCAAGGGCUGCAAGUUGUUGCUGUAGCUGCAUCAUUAUAUUCAUUGAGUUUAAUUCAACAUGGUUUAAAAUUAAGAGUUACAAAUGCAGGUUGCAUGCUGAGCUCAUAAUGUAGCCUUCUCUUGUAUCUACUGUAUAUCUAUUUGCUUUGCUGAGCUGUAGAUGGCAACUUUUGAUUGGUCAAUGUGAGAACAGGAGCAUGUGUCCCAGCCAAGCCAAAUCUGAGAGUCAUGUUAGAGGACAGCACAGGUAGUGUUAUUUUGAUUUAGUUAUAACGGAUAUAGAAUAAGAGAAGCAUCUAGAUACAAAGACAAUUUCUAGCAUGUUAUAUCAACUUGGCAUAGACAACUAAAAUGUCCUGCCUUAGAUACUUUUUAAUGAAGACCAAGUUAAUAUAAGAAAUGCACAUACAAACUUUGUUUAUUUUAGAUAGGAUCUCUGCUGACGAUGCCUACAUUUCAGAGUAUAUGAAUUGUUUAUUACUAUUGGAGCACUUGCCUUGCCUUUUGUUUUACAAAAUGUAAAAAUAAGAAAUGAACCUGAAUUGACUGCAACCCAAUAAGCUAACAUCUGUUCUCGUGCCAGCUUAAUUCGUAUGUGCUGCAGAGGGCCAACCCAGUUCCCUAAUUAAAAUUUGAUAGUUCAAGGAGAGGCCAUUAUGCAAGCUCACUCUAUGUCAAUAUCUUUCUUAAAAAGGAUUGCAUUGUGUCCUAGGGAAGCAAGUUUGUGAGCUUCAUAUGAAUAGUGAUAUUGCAAAAAUCUCUAGUAAAGAUUGUUUAUGUCAGGCAUGAAACCCACUUGAUCUCCAAAAUAUGCCACUUCUAUCUAUAUAUGGUUGUAAGAGAUGUGAACAGAAAUCCUAGAAAGGUGAAUUUAAGUGACGCGAGAGCACUCUGUUAUUGGAAUUAGAAUUUAUAGAAGUUCAAGAAAUUAAUAUAAUUACGAGUGUUUUUCUAGAUACAGCAAAUUUGCUUCAGUCAGAAGCUAAAAAACAUUUAGCUCAUGAAACUUGUGUAACAUUUCUCGAUCGUUGGUUACUAGAAGUUUGCUAUAUUAAGAUACAGUGAGUUAUGUAAAAAUAAUUCUAAUCAUAGUGAUGCAAUAGGUUAAGCAAAUUUUUAUUUCUUCCUUAAUGACCAUUUCACAUGCAUGUAAAGAUAGGCUCUAACUUUGUAUUCGGUGAAAGAUUGUGCAAACUUUAUGCUCGUUUGUUCAUACCAAACUAUCUCUUCUUUUGAUAGAUUCUAGCUUUAAAGCCACCCUUUUGUUUUUCGCAUUAUUUUAUAAUGUUUCAAUGAUUUGCUUAAUGUAUAACCUUGCCCUCCUACUCAUUUGUGGUGCCAUCACAAGGUUUGAAAUUCUAUGGUGCAGGGUGUUUCCGUCAUGUUGUUAUGGUACGCACUGAGGUAACCCCUGUAUCUAUUUUGGUUUAUGAAUAUUUGAAAUAUGACAGUAUGGUACAGUAUGAUACACCGUUGGUAAGUCUUGUUACGGGGAGUAUCAUACGACCAUUGGUAGUUUUCGAACUGUCAUCAUAUUUAGAUUUUAGAGCUUAAAGAGUUAGUCCAUGGGUGACCCAAGUCAUUUGUUGGCUUGGGGUAGGGCUAGGCCUAAACAUCAAGGCAGCCCCUGGGCUGGAUUGGUUCAAUCCCUGGGCUGGAUUGGGUCAAUGAACAUUAAAUCCUAAUUUCCUGACUAUCUUUUGGUUUUGGAUUUGAUAUUUGAGACCAAAAUGUUGGACAUAGCCUAACCGAGUCCAUAAUAGAUAAUAAAGAUUGGAUAGCUUUACCUAUAUAUUAUUGAAGUCCUGCUUCUUUUGUUUUUCCAUUUCUUUUUCUUCACUGGGUUUCUUAUAUAACUCAUGUACUUGAGCUAGAGAGUUUUGCCUGUUAUUCAAUCAUAACGGCUGACAACGACCACUAUAGGAGCCAUUGUUUCAUUCCACAAAAAUUUAAUGAAAGCUGGACUAGUCCAACAGUGGAUGUUAUUCUAUCACAAAGUCGAUCAGGGAACAUUAGGAAUUUAUUCUAUUGUUCUGAUACUGUUAAUAAAGGAGUUAGCGAUCAGCAUGGGUUACAACAGCCAGUUUCUGGUAGGCAGAAAGAGUGGCAAAUCACAGGUCAAAGCACAGGUAUGGACAUAAUAAAUCCAUAUAUAUACAUGGAACUUAUUCUUGGUGACCAUGUCUAAUGAUCAGUCGUAUGGUUAAUGGUUUCUUAAUUCUUACCCAUGCAUUCAGUACGAGCCAGCGAAAGGUCUAAUGGUGGCUUUGUAUUUUAAUAGAUCUACACGAUACUUGCUGCACUGAAUAUGCCUUCCAGAUAUCUUUUUCGUGAUCAUGUGAAACUAUUUAACGCUUUUUCAAUUCAAAAGAUCACCAAAUGGCUGUAGCUAGGUUGAGCAGGUAAUAUUAAUAUUGUUGGUGUAGUUUGAUCUUAGAGCUCAGCAACUUCAUCAUAACCCAAAUCCAAAGGAGGAAAAUAAAAUAAAAAAAGAAGUCAGUAAAGAAACAGUAGAGCUUAGUGUCAGCUUCAUGGCAUCUUCUUCUCUGAUGGUUUCAUCAAUAAGUUACUAGUUAUAGAUUUUAACCUUUUUGUCGUUGUUUAAUAUCAUGCACUCCCCAACUUUUGAAAAGUUCAGAAAUUUUCUAGAAGUCGUCCAUGUCAUUUUCCAGUUGGCUGGAGGCAACCCACGCGAUACUACAUUACUACGCCUUUGCUCUCAAAGCUCACCAAACUCUGUGGAUUCUUCUUCCAACAUUAAAGAGGUGCAAAACUUGUCUUCUUCCACCAUUCAGGCAAAUGCGCAAAGUCUACCAGAGUAUUUCAGCUGAAAUAUUCCUCAGCAGGUCAUGUUUUUAAAAAAGCUGAGCUUUUAGCUGGCGGUUGGAGACUAACAUCAACAGCUAUAUUAGGAGAUCUCUAAUUAGAGACCAUAUGGGCAGGCUUACCUAUGCGGCAGGUACUUCUAGGGAUGGCAAUUUACUCCGUCCCAUCAGGUUUCCAAAAAUCCGACCUGCAAUAAAUUUGAGGCAGGUACAGGUAAUGAUAAAACUCGUUUUGAACCUAAUCAACAUAUCUCUUCGUAAAUUUCUUCUUUGAGGCAAAAAAAAAAAAUUGAUUUGUAUGUAAAAAAAAAUGAUUAUUGUAAAUUUAUCCGGCUUGCUCUAUGUAAUUCUAUCUGUACUGUGUUGACUUGA